GGGCACAAAGGGGCGUGGCUGUCAAUAAACAAAAGGGUCUCCUCUUCGCUGCAAGACGUUGCGUGCGGGGUCGGCGUUGACAAUCGGGGCCGAUGGUGUUGUAGGCGACUUGUCGGCAACUCACAGAUGGCGGGCGAAGAGUCGGCAUCGGCCAUGGAAGCCGACAUCAUCAUCAACGCAGCCGACGGCCUGCCAAACGCGCACCCCAACUUUGAGCAGCACGACCAGGAAGACGUCCUAGGCGUCGACAACGUCAUCCACGACGACGAGCUGCCUAACUCGCUCAUUGUGACUAAUCUCAACUCGCAGGUUUUCAAGAGCGACGAAGAAAAGCACAUCAUCGAGAGCCUAUUCAAUCAGUAUGGAGAAACGGUCUCGUUCCAGUACUUCCGCAGUUUCUGCAGGAUGAGGGUCAACUUCAAAAGUCCAGCGUCAGCAGCGAGGGCGCGCAUUGAAUUGCACCAGGCCAAGGUGGGCUGCAGCACCAUCAACUGCUACUUUGCACAGCCGGUGUCGCCAAUCGACCUAGAGGAUCAGCACCUGCAGCCUCCUGCGCUGACCAAACAGUUCCUGAUCUCACCCCCUGCGUCGCCCCCGUAUGGUUGGGAGCAAAAAGGCGAAUCUGACCCCUUGGUCAACUAUGACUUGCUUGCUGCCAUUGCAAAUCUCUCUCCGGGCGAGACACAUGAACUGCACCCGCCCUCAGGUGGCCAGCCAGGCAUAGUGGUGCACAUUUGUGAAGAAACGGCUGCAGCUGCCGAAAGUGGAGCCCCUCGACAGCAAAUCCAACACACACGGUGCCCAGACACCUAGUCCAGUAGCUGUUGAUUGAUCCCUGUAUUAUUAUUGUGUGUUGAAAAUGCAUCUAGUUGUUAAAGCCUGUUACUGCCUUGGUGAACAUAAGAUCACACCCCCCAGAGAAAAGCCACCCCCAACAACAGGGUUAGGUUGGCAGUCCUAGCGACAGAAAAGUGAGCGCAAGCAGCAGGCAGAUGUGUUGAGCCCAGCAGACGGCAGAUCAAUAAGUAUCAAAACAAGGAGCAGUCGCACGAAAUGAGGCGUUAAUUUUUUAAAGGAAAUAACAAAUUCUAAAAAUGGUGUGUCACAAGAAUUUGGUAUUUUUAUUUUCCCUUCUUGCAACUGCGGUUGCAUCCAUAAGCUUACCAGAAACUACCCCCGAAACUAACUGUGGACAGUCUUGCCUGCACCAAUUUAAUGAGAACGCGGUUGCUAGGUUGAGUGAUGCCUGUCAGAGAGGGUGUCGCUUCUACGAAUUGGUGAGCAGUGCCAAUGGAGAAGGAGGUAUUGAGGCUGUGCUCGAGGGCUUGGACUUGCAGCAGCACCUUCGUGUCAACACCACUAAAGAAACAUGUCAAUCUUCAUGCAUGGAAGCAUAUCGGCACACCAAAGAGCGAUACGCCUGUCAUCAGGGCUGUGCCCACAUGGCGCGUGAUACAGCCAGGGCCGAAGAGCGGUUGAGACAGGAAGUCCUGCAGGAGAGUGCCAGGGAUUUGGCAUCCUUGGGUCCGUUGUUAUCUUCGAUGCUUGGCCGAGCUCGAUUUGCCCUUCUAUUUUCAUCACAAGAGUCCAAGGACUCGGUUCUGCUUGUACAACAGCAGGAGCCUCCGAAACCUCCACGACACACUCCACAGCCUCCAUCAGAUAUUCUUGGAUGUCUCUCUAACAAGUACGGUCUGCCCAAAUGGUUCUUUGGCUUGCUGGGCUUGGCCACGGGCCUUUUGGCUGGGUGGCUCUGCUAUGAGCCAAUGAAAAUGGCAGCGAUUCUGGAGGAAAAAGAGGCUCUGUUGCUCCUCGAUGAAGAGGCUGAUGAUUUGCCAUCCAAGAAAGAGCCUGUGGCUUAAUUUAAUUGCCAUUUUAUAGAGCUUUCUGAAUUUGGGCUCUGGUAAUGAUGAAGUGAGACAGUUGCGAAUUCACCCUAAUGGGAAUUUUUGAUUAUUAGGGUUUAAAUAAUAUCAAAUAAUUCAGGGUUCUGUUGAAGCAUAUUAAAAUCCAAGAAAGGCUUUAUAGACUAGCUAGAUGUAGGAGGGCGUCAAUCUACUUCCAGCUAAAUUGUAAGCAGGCUCAGUAAUUUAAACAAAACGCAAGGAGAUUUGCUUGUCUCGAGGUUUCUCCUAUCCCCUUUAUUCAACAUUAAAUGUUUUAAAAAUGCUAAUGGUAUGCAUCUCCUGAUGUAAUGUUUUCCCUCUCACUCAACUUACCUAAUUUUGAUCUGUCUAUUCAUAGCCCUAGAAAAUAUAGAUAGGGAUAGAUUAGGCUGAAAUGAUUUCGCAAUUCCACAAAAUCAAUAGAUAUAGAGAAGAUAUUUUGGGGGGCUCCGCUUAUCUUCACUUAAAGAAUUACAUAUUGAAAAGGCAAGGUGUGAUUUUAACACCAAUAUUCAUUUAAAUAUUCAGAUACAUAUAUUUAUUCCGAAGUAUUGAUUUUUCGAUUUAAGGAAAAUAUCAACUAAUUUUGUGAUCUCAACAAUUAAAUUUAGUAUUCCUAUAUAGUGAUACUCAAGGCUUGUUUCAAAAUAAAAUUGUUGAUGUUAUCUG